AAAUCUGGCUCUUUUAGAGUCCGAAUUUGUAAUUGUAGAAGAUGCUUCGGGUGUGGUUCCGGUCUAAGUUCCUUGGAACAGGACGUCAUAGAGGGUGAGAAUCCCGUAUGUGACUGGAUACCUAUGCUCAUGUGAAGCUCUUUCGACGAGUCGAGUUGUUUGGGAAUGCAGCUCAAAAUGGGAGGUAUAUUUCUUCUAAAGCUAAAUAUUGGCCAGAGACCGAUAGCGCACAAGUAGAGUGAUCGAAAGAUGAAAAGCACUUUGGAAAGAGAGUUAAACAGUACGUGAAAUUGUUGAAAGGGAAGCGCUUGCAAUCAGACUUGCACUUGGUGUUCAUCAGGGUCUCGUACCCUGUGUACUUCAUCAAGUUCAGGCCAGCAUCAGUUUGAGUGGUUAGAUAAAGGCUUAGAGAAUGUGGCCCUCUUCGGGGGGUGUUAUAGCUCUAGGUGCAAUGUAGCCUACUUGGACUGAGGACCGCGCUUCGGCUAGGAUGCUGGCGUAAUGGUUGUAAGCGACCCGUCUUGAAACACGGACCAAGGAGUGUACCUAAUAUGCGAGUGUUUGGGUGUUAAACCCAUACGCGUAAUGAAAGUGAACGCUGGUGAGAACCCUUAAGGGUGCAUCAUCGACCGAUCUUGAUGUCUUCGGAUGGAUUUGAGUAAGAGCAUAUUGGGUGCGACCCGAAAGAUGGUGAUCUAUACGUGAAUAGGGUGAAGCCAGAGGAAACUCUGGUGGAGGCUCGCAGCGGUUCUGACGUGCAAAUCGAUCGUCAAAUUUGCGUAUAGGGGCGAAAGACUAAUCGAUCCAUCUAG
rnacentral:rRNA from 1 species